CACACUCUCAAGUUCAACAAAUGGCCACAGAGGGCGAAAAAAUCGACCGCGCGCUGCUGCUAACAAAACCAGCAUAGUAAUAUCACUUCGGGAUGCUUACGUUAGUUUGAACAUUUUCCGCUGGAGGCGCCGUAAUAAGCGCAAUUUUUUUUGGAAACUUUCUCCUACAAUUACCGAAGCACGUUUAUUACAUGAAAAAGAGGGCGAAAUUAUCAUUGCUAAUUUGAUAUUGUAUUCUUUGUAAGUAAGUUUAUUGUUUCUUUGUCAUUAUAAACGCAAAUAGCGUUCAGCAUCAUCGAUCUUUCACGUGACCUCUGGCCUGGAUUUAAAAUUUUUACCGGUAUUUUCGAGUACAUGGCGGCACGGAUUCAUUCGUUCGUGCGCUCAGACUGGUUGCUUCUUUUUCGCUAAAACUAGUUUAUUGCGCUUCGAUGUCACGCGUUAUUUAACCUGGGGUGAAGUGACGUGUUUGCAAGCGGACAUGUAAGCCCGAAAGUUGGGUAUCGGUCGUGAGCCAUUCGGAACACGUCUGCAUCGAAACGGGAGCUGGAUUCUGGUGCGGCUGACAACGGUAAUAACGACAUGCAGUAAUGAGGAUGGCACCAGUAUAAAGCAACACACUCCACACACUAAACAGAAGCUGCUGCCUGCUACAACAAGGCCAUUGUGUGGACAUUGGCUGCUACUACAAGAGUCCAUGCCAAGCAUACCUUGGUCAUCACAGGAGCUCCUAUCCACACCAACAGAAAGGGGCUGGACCUGAAUUUGCAAGGCUUUUACACCACGAACAAAGAAGCGCAUGCAGAAGAAUUUACAUGAGAUAUCAA